rnacentral:tRNA from 1 species
GGACAGUAGCUCAGUUGUAGAGUUUUCCCGCUUUAUAAGCGGGAAGACCUGGGUUCGAUCCCUGGCAGCUUCCA